GGGGAAUAUUGGACAAUGGGCGCAAGCCUGAUCCAGCAAUGCCGCGUGGGUGAAGAAGGUUUUCGGAUUGUAAAGCCCUUUUGGCAGGGACGAUGAUGACGGUACCUGCAGAAUAAGCCCCGGCUAACUUCGUGCCAGCAGCCGCGGUAAUACGAAGGGGGCUAGCGUUGCUCGGAAUGACUGGGCGUAAAGGGCGCGUAGACGGCCUGUACAGUCAGAUGUGAAAUUCCUGGGCUCAACCUGGGGGCUGCAUUUGAUACGUAUGGGCUAGAGUGGGGAAGAGGGUUGUGGAAUUCCCAGUGUAGAGGUGAAAUUCGUAGAUAUUGGGAAGAACACCGGUGGCGAAGGCGGCAACCUGGUCCUUGACUGACGCUGAGGCGCGAAAGCGUGGGGAGCAAACA
rnacentral:rRNA from 1 species